AUGAUACUCCCUCUGUUCCGAAAUAAUUGUCGUUGGACAACUCCAGUACAAAUUCAGCCACGUUACGAAAUUAACGCACUUUCUCAUUUUACCCUCGCGCCGUUCGUCGCUGUCCACUCACUCUUGCUCUCGUCGCCCUCUCUCCCCUUCGCCUCUCUUCUGCCACCACCUCGACCACCUCGCCGGCCACCACCUCACCCAGCUCGCCGGCCACCCACCACAUCGGCCAGGAGGCCACCAUCUCUCCCCGUCGCCGCCAUCUUUCUUCCGCCUCCACUCACACCCGUCGUCCACUCGCACCCCACCCCACAUCCGAGGUCAAGCUUUGAUGCGCCUACUCUGGAUCUGGCGACGGAGGCGGGAGAUGGGGAGGAGGCCGUCGCGGUGGUGUGCCUGGACCACGUCCUCAAGCACGCCGGUGGCGCCACGGAGGAGGCCGAGCGCAUCCGCCGCUGCCACAACGCCGACGGCGCCAUGGAGUACUGGCUCGAGCCGGACGAGCUCGCGGCCCUGCGCCGGGAGGUCGGCGCCGACCCGUACUGGGUGCCGCCAGGGUGGAAGCGCGGAGACCCCGUGUCCGCCGACGGCUACGCGCUCAAGGCAAAGAUGCAGGUGGAGGAGCUCAGCAAGGAGCUCGCCGGAGUAAAAAGCUACUCCACUGAACUACAGUACCGAAGUACUGCUUGA
rnacentral:rRNA from 1 species